CAGCAGCCGCGGGAAUACAGAGGGUGCGAGCGUUAAUCGGAUUUACUGGGCGUAAAGCGUGCGUAGGCGGCUUCUUAAGUCGGAUGUGAAAUCCCUGAGCUUAACUUAGGAAUUGCAUUCGAUACUGGGAAGCUAGAGUAUGGGAGAGGAUGGAAGAAUUCCAGGUGUAGCGGUGAAAUGCGUAGAGAUCUGGAGGAAUACCGAUGGCGAAGGCAGCCAUCUGGCCUAAUACUGACGCUGAGGUACGAAAGCAUGGGGAGCAAACAGGAUUAGAUACCCCAGUAGUCCCUGUCUCUUAUAA
rnacentral:rRNA from 1 species